AGAAUAUUAAAAAAAUAUAUAUCCCGGAAAGAGAAGAUCCCAAACUUUGAAAUUUAAAUCCACGCUCCCACAUGUGCGCUCGGUGAAAAAUAAGCAGAAAUCAUCAUCCCAGGUCCUAUGGGGGUCCAUCGUGCCCGGGUGCUACGGUGGAUUCCCCAGCGAAGCCUACCCAAACGCAGUCAACAUCAAGUCAAGUGAUGACUAGAAGCGACUUUACAUUCCAGUGAUUUCAUGCCUCGCGCUCACACUUCUCAGGGUCAAUCGAUAAAAAGAGAGAGCCUCCAGGACUGAAGCAGGAAUCCUCUCCUCCCUCUCUUCUUCCACUCUUCACUUCUUCUUUGUCAUUAGCCCGGGACUCCUGACCUUUAGCCCAAACUGGGAAAUGUCAGAAGAUGCUUGUAAUGUCACAACAGCUUAUCAGGGCGAGGAUGGGCUGUUGUUAUGGAGACAGCAUCACUACCGCAGGCUUGGUGGGACGUUUCCGGCUCAGCACAAUUCACUUCAUUGAACAAUGAAACCUUAUUUGUUUCCUGCGUGUUAGUGCAGUUGUUCCCAAAGAGGGUACAGCGGUAACAUUUCACUGUGUUAAAAAAACUGGGGCAAAAGUUACAUUAACAACUUUUUACAUUUUCUGUAAAGUAAGCUCAACAAUAUACACAUGAUGUCUGAUCUGUGAGUUUACUUAAUUGCUUUCAUUUGGCCAUAAAAACCUAAAUGGAAAUAAAUACAACCAAUUAGCAUUCUUUCAUGACUUUAAACUGC